rnacentral:tRNA from 1 species
UGUGGUAAGAAUGGGGUU